GGUUAAAAAUUAGAAAUAAAAUUAUUUAAAAAAAAAUCUUUCCUGUAUUCCAUCACAGCUGGCUCUCACUGGCUCGCCACCACAGACUGAGAUCUUCGUUUUCACGGACGCUGAAGCAAAGGACAAGUGGUUGAAGAGCACUAUCCUCGCACUGAUCGAGAGAACAAAGUCUUCAGUGACCUUCAUGCUGACGAAUGCUUUCAGUGGUCGAAGUCGGAUCAGCGGUGGGCCACAGUUUUCUUCUCGAUCCUCCAACCCUUUAAUAGGCAUCUACCAGGAACUGGCUCAGGCUUCUGGAGGUCAGGCUAUAGAGGUCACCAAAGCAACACUACCCCAGGCCACCAGCAUCAUAGUGGACACCUCCAGCUCUUCUCUGGUCACUGUUUUCCAGGCUGUAAGAGAUUCAGCUAAACCAGAAAUCUUCACAUUCUUUGUGGACUCCUCUUUACAAAAUCUGACCAUUUACAUCACAGGAAACCCAUCAUAUUACACCAUCACUGGACCUACAGGUGACUGAAUUUAUUCAUUUCUUUUUGAUACUUUUUUCCAGAUAUUCAGAAACACAUAUCAAUUCUAUUUAUACAAUGUCAAGCAAACAUUUGG
rnacentral:lncRNA from 1 species